AAUAUUGGACAAUGGGGGCAACCCUGAUCCAGCCAUACCGCGUGUGUGAAGAAGGUCNNNGGAUUNUUACGAACUUCAAGUUGNGAGNAAGGGCUUUAGGUAAAUACCCUGAAGUUUUGACGUUACCAACAGAAUAAGCACCGGCUAACUCUGUGCCAGCAGCCGCGGUAAUACAGAGGGUGCAAGCGUUAAUCGGAAUUACGGGGAGUAAAGCGCGCGUAGGUUGUUCAGUAAGAUGGGUGUGACAUCCCCAGGCUUAACCUGGGAACUGCUUUCAUAACUGCUGAGCUAGAGUACGGUAGAGGGUAGUGGAAUUUCCUGUGUAGCGGUGAAAUGCGUAGAUAUAGGAAGGAACACCAGUGGCGAAGGCGACUACCUGGACUGAUACUGACACUGAAGUGCGAAAGCGUGGGGAGCAAAC
rnacentral:rRNA from 1 species